AACGAACGCUGGCGGCAGGCUUAACACAUGCAAGUCGAACGCACCUUUCGGGGUGAGUGGCAGACGGGUGAGUAACGCGUGGGAAUCUACCCUUCUCUACGGGAUAGCUCCGGGAAACUGGAAUUAAUACCGUAUACGUCCUGAGGGAGAAAGAUUUAUCGGGGAAGGAUGAGCCCGCGUUGGAUUAGCUAGUUGGUGGGGUAAAGGCCUACCAAGGCGACGAUCCAUAGCUGGUCUAAGAGGAUGAUCAGCCACAUUGGGACUGAGACACGGCCCAAACUCCUACGGGAGGCAGCAGUGGGGAAUAUUGGACAAUGGGCGCAAGCCUGAUCCAGCCAUGCCGCGUGAGUGAUGAAGGCCCUAGGGUUGUAAAGCUCUUUCAGUGGGGACGAUAAUGACGGUACCCACAGAAGAAGCCCCGGCUAACUUCGUGCCAGCCGCCGCCGUAACAC
rnacentral:rRNA from 1 species